rnacentral:rRNA from 1 species
CCUACGGGGGGCAGCAGUAGGGAAUUUUCGGCAAUGGGGGGAACCCUGACCGAGCAAAGCCGCGUGAACGAAGAAGUUAAUCGUAAUGUAAAGUUCUAUGAACAGGGAAGAAAGAGAAAUUUGACGGUACCUGAAGAAUAAGCUCCGGCUAAGUACGUGCCAGCAGCCGCGGUAAUACGUAGGGAGCGAGCGUUAUCCGAAAUUAUUGGGCGUAAAGGGUGCGUAGAUGGAAUAGUAAGGCUUUUGUAAAAAUGCUGGGCUCAACCCAGUAGGGCAAAAGAUACUGCAAAGCUAGAGUAUGACAGAGGCAAGUGGAACUACAUGUGUAGCGGUAAAAUGCGUAAAUAUAUGGAGGAACACCAGUGUCGAAGGCGGUCUGCUGGACAGCAACUGACGGUGAGGCGCGAAAGCGUGGGGAGCAAACAGGAUUAGAUACCCCAGUAGUC